GAGGUCUUAACUUAAUUAAAGUGUUUGGGUUGCAUUCAGGAGAUGUAUAUUAGAAUUAUACAGGCCUUC
rnacentral:tRNA from 1 species